AUUGAACGCUGGCGGCAUGCCUUACACAUGCAAGUCGAACGGUAACAGGUUAAGCUGACGAGUGGCGAACGGGUGAGUAAUAUAUCGGAACGUGCCCAGUCGUGGGGGAUAACGUAGCGAAAGCUACGCUAAUACCGCAUACGAUCUACGGAUGAAAGCGGGGGAUCGCAAGACCUCGCGCGAUUGGAGCGGCCGAUAUCAGAUUAGGUUGUUGGUGAGGUAAAGGCUCACCAAGCCUGCGAUCUGUAGCUGGUCUGAGAGGACGACCAGCCACACUGGAACUGAGACACGGUCCAGACUCCUACGGGAGGCAGCAGUGGGGAAUUUUGGACAAUGGACGCAAGUCUGAUCCAGCAAUGCCGCGUGCAGGACGAAGGCCUUCGGGUUGUAAACUGCUUUUGUACGGAACGAAACGGUGAGCUCUAAUACGGUUUGCUAAUGACGGUACCGUAAGAAUAAGCACCGGCUAACUACGUGCCAGCCGCCGCAGUAA
rnacentral:rRNA from 1 species